rnacentral:misc_RNA from 1 species
UCGUGGGGCUUCGGCCCUUGCGAGAUAGCACCCUUGUCUUUUGAGUACCGUCCGUUUCCUCGGCAGGGCAACCUGCCAAUGGGGACAACAACAAACCCUUUGUAAUAGAAGUACAUUGUCUGAAUAAAAAUUUAAAAGUUA